rnacentral:rRNA from 1 species
AUUGAACGCUGGCGGCAUGCUUUACACAUGCAAGUCGAACGGUAACAGGUUAAGCUGACGAGUGGCGAACGGGUGAGUAAUGCAUCGGAACGUGCCCGGUCGUGGGGGAUAACGCAGCGAAAGCUGCGCUAAUACCGCAUACGAUCUGAGGAUGAAAGCGGGGGACCGUAAGGCCUCGCGCGAUCGGAGCGGCCGAUGUCAGAUUAGGUAGUUGGUGGGGUAAAGGCUCACCAAGCCAACGAUCUGUAGCUGGUCUGAGAGGACGACCAGCCACACUGGGACUGAGACACGGCCCAGACGCCUACGGGAGGCAGCAGUGGGGAAUUUUGGACAAUGGGCGAAAGCCUGGUCCAGCAAUGCCGCGUGCAGGAAGAAGGCCUUCGGGUUGUAAACUGCUUUUGUCAGGGAAGAAAACUGCUGGGCUAAUACCUUGGCAGGAUGACGGUACCUGAAGAAUAAGCACCGGCUAACUACGUGCCAGCCGCCGCGGUAA